AAUAGUUUUCAGAAGAAUUUUAAAAUGUUUUACGCCUGUUUGUUUCUUUCUGGAUUCAUGAUUUUUACCAAUGGUCAAACUCCAAAUGAUUUAAAUAACAAAAUAUCUUAUUUCCUUCAAGAUCUUACAGGAGCAAAGUUAUCAAAAUCUGUUGAGAGAAAAAGGACUGAGGACUUCCUACAAAUAAACAUAGGGUAAAACUUCUAAAUGAGACAAAAAUCUAGCAAGACAAACAUUAAUGCCUAAUGUAGAAGUCCAGUCACAAAUCGCAAUGCAAGAGACAAGUCAGACAUCUGUGAUUUCAAAUUUAAAAAAAAAUUUAAUUACUAUUGUCCCACUGAGUGAAAGGGUUUACUUUUAUUACAAAAAAAAUAUUAGUAAUAUGUUUAGGUUUUAAUAGAAGCCAUGUCGUCUUUAAAAUCUUAGAUCUAACCCUGCAUUCCUUUAUUAUAAGCAAUCAAAAGUAAAGACAUUUAGACGGAAGAUGAUUGGGUGGGGCUAAGAAAGUGCUACGAG